CUAGGUUCGAAUCAUAAUUUGUGGUUGAACACGGGUUGAUGGUAAAAGAGGUUCAAUAGGUGGAAAUGGCUAACAAUUUGAUGCAAAAGAGUUAACAAGGUGACAAAGGAAUAGAGGAUUAAAAUGAAGCUAAAAUACCUCUGGCUAAUGAAGAGCUUACAUUCGGUAAUGAGAGACAAUGUGGAGACUGAAUGAUGAAGUGGAUGAAUCGAGAGGAUGACAUGAAAGAGCUUGGGAGAACUUGCAAACCAAUAUUAGGUUUCAGUGAAUGAGCGGAUAGUUGAUGCGAAGAAGAAUCGAGAAUGAAUGAGAGGGAACUAGGGUUUAAUGAAGUGAAUAACAAGAAAGUAAGUCAAAUGGGGGAAAAUGGGUUUUGAUGGAUGAGCGAGAAACUAAAGAGCAAAGUGGGAAAAUGAGAGAAUGAGUGGUGUGAAUGGAAGAUGGCUAGAGGAGGACCAUAGGAUUCUCUAGCCUUGACUCUUAAGGAGAAUUGUUUCUAGAGUCAUCUCUAUAAAAUGAUAAUUCAUUAAUCUAAAAAAUGACAUUUACAAAGGUGUUAACAUGCCUUUAUAGGGAUGAGAUCCCUCCUAUGUCUACCACAUGCUUAGCAUGUUAUACACACGUUUCAUACAAAUAAAAAAGAAUAUUAAAUAUGUGCUUCGAUUGGAGCUUGGACUUGGGCCCAAGUCAUCAAUAUUUAUAGCCAAAAAAGUAGUUGUCUUAGGCGGAUCGCAACCCUUGAAACCAACUAGAUCUAACAAUCCAUAACACACGACUUUUCGUGUCAAGCAGGUGCAUGAAUCCCGAGGAUCCACGUGUCCUGCUCGCCCCGACUACAUUUUCCUGUAAACGCCAUGAUA
rnacentral:lncRNA from 1 species